UACGUAGGGUGCGAGCGUUAAUCGGAAUUACUGGGCGUAAAGCGCACGUAGGCGGCUUGUUAAGUCAGGGGUGAAAUCCUGGAGCUCAACUCCAGAACUGCCUUUGAUACUGAGGAUCUUGAGUUCGGGAGAGGUGAGUGGAACUGCGAGUGUAGAGGUGAAAUUCGUAGAUAUUCGCAAGAACACCAGUGGCGAAGGCGGCUCACUGGCCCGGUACUGACGCUGAGGUGCGAAAGCGUGGGGAGCAAACAGG
rnacentral:rRNA from 1 species